rnacentral:rRNA from 1 species
UACGUAGGGGGCAAGCGUUGCCCGGAUUUAUUGGGCGUAAAGAGCGUGUAGGCGGCCAGACAGGUCCGUUGUGAAAACUCGAGGCUCAACCUCGAGACGCCGAUGGAAACCGUCUGGCUAGAGUCCGGAAGAGGAGAGUGGAAUUCCUGGUGUAGCGGUGAAAUGCGCAGAUAUCAGGAAGAACACCCGUGGCUAAGGCGGCUCUCUAGUACGGUACUGACGCUGAGACGCGAAAGCGUGGGGAGCGAACAGG